rnacentral:lncRNA from 1 species
CUAGAGAAGAGUGUGAAUCUUUCCAGAGGGAUGGAACAAAGCUAUUUAUUAUUACUUAUUUGUGUUACAGCAGUACCUAAGGACUCCAGCUGAAAUCGAGGCCCCUUUGUCUAGGCUUGGUACAAACAUACAGGAAGAGAGAGUCCCUGCUGAAGACAAAGGGUUGUGGGGAAGGGGAUAUGACCUACAACAGAGUGAACAAAUCUACAAAUGUCAUUAGGUUUACAGGUUCAGCUUCCAAUUAGGAUCCAGAAGCUUGAAUUCUUCUCUGACAGGCAUAUGAACUCUUUGAUUUGGAAAUCAGGCUGGAGGAAACCUCAAGACAACAAACCUUUGUGUGAUUUCAAAUACCGCAACAACAUGCCAAAAACUGGACAGAAUGAAGACUGACACAAUUGGUUGGACUCAUAGGAACUUUAGUCUCUUGCUUUGUUCAUUUUACAGGUUAGUGUCUCUAUAUAUAACAUAUGGUA